rnacentral:rRNA from 1 species
UGAACGCUGGCGGCGUGCCUAAUACAUGCAAGUCGAGCGAACAGACGAGGAGCUUGCUCCUCUGACGUUAGCGGCGGACGGGUGAGUAACACGUGGAUAACCUACCUAUAAGACUGGGAUAACUUCGGGAAACCGGAGCUAAUACCGGAUAAUAUAUUGAACCGCAUGGUUCAAUAGUGAAAGACGGUUUUGCUGUCACUUAUAGAUGGAUCCGCGCCGCAUUAGCUAGUUGGUAAGGUAACGGCUUACCAAGGCAACGAUGCGUAGCCGACCUGAGAGGGUGAUCGGCCACACUGGAACUGAGACACGGUCCAGACUCCUACGGGAGGCAGCAGUAGGGAAUCUUCCGCAAUGAGCGAAAGCUUGACGGAGCAACGCCGCGUGAGUGAUGAAGGUCUUCGGAUCGUAAAACUCUGUUAUUAGGGAAGAACAAAUGUGUAAGUAACUAUGCACGUCUUGACGGUACCUAAUCAGAAAGCCACGGCUAACUACGUG